UCGAUCUCUGCCCUCCUCCACUGCCCCCUUCCUGACAAACAGGCAUUCCUGCAGCAACUCCGUGAUCCGGGGACUGGCGUGGAACCAUUCCAUGGAGAUGUGGAAGGAGAGCCGGCGGUGAAGCACCCACUCUUGGCUGG
rnacentral:lncRNA from 1 species